GAUGAAGAACGCAGCGAAAUGCGAUACGUAAUGUGAAUUGCAGAAUUCAGUGAAUCAUCGAAUCUUUGAACGCAUAUUGCGCUCUCUGGUAUUCCGGAGAGCAUGCUUGUUUGAGUAUCAGUAAACACCUCAACUUCCAUAUCUUUUUUGAAAUGGGAGUUGGACUUGAGUGAUCCCAACGCUUUUCCUCACCGAAAAGUGGCGGGUUACUUGAAAUGCAGGUGCAGCUGGACUUUUCUCUGAGCUAUAAGCAUAUCUAUUUAGUCUGCCUAAAAAACAGAUUAUUACCUUUGCUGCAGCUAACAUAAAGGAGAUUAGUUCUUGUGCUGACUGAUGCAGGAUUCACAAAGACGGCUUCGGCCGACUUUGUAAACUCGAUCUCAAAUCAAGUAAGACUGCCCGCUGAACUUAAGCAUAUCAAUAAGCGGAGGA
rnacentral:misc_RNA from 1 species